rnacentral:rRNA from 1 species
AACGAACGCUGGCGGCAUGCCUAACACAUGCAAGUCGAACGAGACCUUCGGGUCUAGUGGCGCACGGGUGCGUAACGCGUGGGAACCUGCCCUUAGGUUCGGAAUAACUCCCCGAAAGGGGUGCUAAUACCGGAUAAUGUCUUCGGACCAAAGAUUUAUCGCCUUUGGAUGGGCCCGCGUUGGAUUAGCUAGUUGGUAGGGUAAAAGCCUACCAAGGCGACGAUCCAUAGCUGGUCUGAGAGGAUGAUCAGCCACACUGGGACUGAGACACGGCCCAGACUCCUGCGGGAGGCAGCAGUGGGGAAUAUUGGACAAUGGGCGAAAGCCUGAUCCGGCAAUGCCGCGUGAGUGAUGAAGGCCUUAGGGUUGUAAAGCUCUUUUACCCGGGAUGAUAAUGACAGUACCGGGAGAAUAAGCUCCGGCUAACUCCGUG